rnacentral:rRNA from 1 species
CACUUUUAGUUGCCAUCAUUAGUUGGGCACUCUGAAAGAACUGCCAGUGAUAAGCUGGAGGAAGGUGGGGAUGACGUCAAGUCCUCAUGGCCCUUAUGUGUUGGGCUACACACGUGCUACAAUGGUAUCUACAACAGGAAGCAAAAUGGCAACAUUUAGCAAAUCCUAAAAAGAUAUCUCAGUUCGGAUUGCACUCUGCAACUCGAGUGCAUGAAGCUGGAAUUACUAGUAAUCGUGGAUCAGCGUGCCACGGUGAAUACGUUC